AUUGCAGGGUAGCUACAUUGUUGUUGGAUAAUCGCUGAAAGCAUCUAAGCGAGAAGCCACGCCCAAGAUAAAACUUCUCCAUUAGACCACUCGGAGACUACGAGUUUGAUAGGCCGUCGGUGCAAGUCCAGUGAUGGAUUGAGCCUAACGGUACUAAGUGUCGAUUGAACAUACUUU
rnacentral:rRNA from 1 species